rnacentral:rRNA from 1 species
UACGUAGGGCGCAAGUGUUGUCCGGAAUUAUUGGGCGUAAAGAGCUCGUAGGCGGUUUGUCGCGUCUGCUGUGAAAACCUAAGGCUCAACCUUGGGCUUGCAGUGGGUACGGGCAGACUAGAGUGCGGUAGGGGUGACUGGAAUUCCUGGUGUAGCGGUGGAAUGCGCAGAUAUCAGGAGGAACACCGAUGGCGAAGGCAGGUCACUGGGCCGCAACUGACGCUGAGGAGCGAAAGCAUGGGGAGCGAGCAGG